rnacentral:rRNA from 1 species
CUACGGGAGGCUCCAGUGAGGAAUAUUGCACAAUGGGGGGAACCCUGAUGCAGCAACGCCGCGUGGAGGAUGACGCAUUUCGGUGUGUAAACCCCCUUUAUAUGUCAAGAAAAUGACGGUAGCAUAUGAAUAAGCACCGGCUAACUCCGUGCCAGCAGCCGCGGUAAUACGGAGGGUGCAAGCGUUACUCGGAAUCACUGGGCGUAAAGGACGCGUAGGCGGGUUGGAAAGUCAGGUGUGAAAUCCUACAGCUUAACUGUAGAACUGCACUUGAAACUUCUAAUCUAGAGUAUGGGAGGGGGAGAUGGAAUUAGUGGUGUAGGGGUAAAAUCCGUAGAUAUCACUAGGAAUACCUAAAGCGAAGGCGAUCUCCUGGAACAUUACUGACGCUAAGGCGUGAAAGCGUGGGGAGCAAACAGGAUUAGAUACCCGGGUAGUC